GAACUCCAAAAUUAGCAUGAAUGAGUUUUGGACACCAAUUUUCGAUUUUUGGGGGUAUUUUUAGGUAUGUAACGAGUGUUUUAAAUUCUGCAGGAAAAAUUCAAGGAAUUCGGUACCCGUUAGGAGGCGUAGUAGACAGUUUGACGUCUGAAACACUGAUUCAGAUAAAGAUCCCUCAUCUUAUUCUCCGUUAUGGUAAAUUGAGGCUUAACGAU
rnacentral:lncRNA from 1 species